rnacentral:rRNA from 1 species
GAUGAACGCUGGCGGCGUGCCUAAUACAUGCAAGUCGAGCGAACAGACGAGGUGCUUGCUCCUCUGACGUUAGCGGCGGACGGGUGAGUAACACGUGGAUAACCUACCUAUAAGACUGGGAUAACUUCGGGAAACCGGAGCUAAUACCGGAUAAUAUAUUGAACCGCAUGGUUCAAUAGUGAAAGACGGUUUUGCUGUCACUUAUAGAUGGAUCCGCGCCGCAUUAGCUAGUUGGUAAGGUAACGGCUUACCAAGGCAACGAUGCGUAGCCGACCUGAGAGGGUGAUCGGCCACACUGGAACUGAGACACGGUCCAGACUCCUACGGGAGGCAGCAGUAGGGAAUCUUCCGCAAUGGGCGAAAGCCUGACGGAGCAACGCCGCGUGAGUGAUGAAGGUCUUCGGACCGUAAAACUCUGUUAUUAGGGAAGAACAAAUGUGUAAGUAACUAUGCACGUCUUGACGGUACCUAAUCAGAAAGCCACGGCUAACUACGUG